UAGGGAAUCUUCCGCAAUGGGCGAAAGCCUGACGGAGCAACGCCGCGUGAGUGAUGAAGGUCUUCGGCUCGUAAAACUCUGUUAUUCGGGAAGAACAAAUGUGUAAGUAACUAUGCACGUCUUGACGGUACCUAAUCAGAAAGCCACGGCUAACUACGUGCCAGCAGCCGCGGUAAUACGUAGGUGGCAAGCGUUAUCCGGAAUUAUUGGGCGUAAAGCGCGCGUAGGCGGUUUUUUAAGUCUGAUGUGAAAGCCCACGGCUCAACCGUGGAGGGUCAUUGGAAACUGGAAAACUUGAGUGCAGAAGAGGAAAGUGGAAUUCCAUGUGUAGCGGUGAAAUGCGCAGAGAUAUGGAGGAACACCAGUGGCGAAGGCGACUUUCUGGUCUGUAACUGACGCUGAUGUGCGAAAGCAUGGGGAUCAAACAGG
rnacentral:rRNA from 1 species